UAAAAAAGCAACAGCCCCACGACCAAGGGCCUGCACCCUUUGCAGAGAAUGCAUUCGAGAGGAAGGAUGGGACGAAAAGAUUGCCCUGCGACGGAAGAAAGAUCAUUUUAUAUGUAAGUUUUGCUCAUCCAAUGAUAAAAUGUUAUGUGCUUUGAAAAUGUUGCUUCCUGUUAUUUUUCUAAUGCUUCUUCAUUCAGUAACUUCCUUUGUGUACCGAAAAAUCUUGUACUCCACUCCGUAUAUAGUUGGAGCUACAGGUUUCAUCUUUGUGUCUUUUACUUCUCGGUGAAGUGUUUUUUCGAGGGGUACUGUUUUAGUUUGAGAAUUUACGAUAUGAAAAGUUCAAAGUUCACAUCCCGUUGUAGAGGGAAUUGCAUUGUCUUUCACGGGAUCAUACUGAAGCUCUUAGUCAGUUUGUCAAGACAAGAAAUUUCUCGGGAUUCUUUCAAAAGGCUUAUCUGGUUGAAGAUUUUUCUGUGAAUGAAGAAGUAAUGGAGCGGUCAAAUACGCUUCGAGAGAGGAGAUCAACUUGAGGGAUUUGCUGAGGAAAUUGAGAGGUAAGAGAUCCAUUAAGGUGCCUGUAAUAAGUAACAAGAAUGCAGCCACUCCUGAUGAUUUUUUCAUGGAGAAAGUAUGGGCAGAAACCAAUCUAGGGGCCACCCCAUCCAAGGUAGACUUAUUUUGAGCACUUUCCAUGUGUAUAUGUUUGUUCCAACUUGCUCAAUUAAUAGUCAGUAAAGUUUAAAUAGUUUUCUAACUUUGAUCUUAGUUCCUAAUUGUAUUUUCAUCCUUGCUCCCCUGAUUUGCCUGAAGAAGUAAGUCUGAUUGCUAUAUUUGUUUAAUAGGCCCUCAAAUCUGCUGAGUUCUGACGUUUUGUCCUUAAUAAAGUAAGGAUAAAUUGUUUUUUAUCAUCUAAAAGUCAAAAAUUAUUUUCUACCACCUAAAAAACUAAUACUUGCAUUUUACCACCUAAAGAAAAUUUGAAACUUGUUUUUUACCACCUGAAAUAUGGAAAAAUAGAUGGAAAUGUUAUGUGCGGGGCCACAAUAACGGUAAUAUUUCUAAUAUGUUCUCUUCGAUCUUCAACAAUUUCAUGUAUUUAACCCUCGCUUCUUUAUCGUCCAUGAAUUUACAUAAAUUUUCACAACUAUUAUUUCACAUAAUUGACAAAAUUUAAUGGAAAUAAAGAAAGAAAGGUGAAAGAGUUAAAGAAAAAUCACACAAGGAUUGUAAAAAAUUGGAAGGAAAUUGAACUACGUAGCCACUUUUUCCAUUUUUAGGCGGUGAAAAACAAUUUUUAAUUUUUUUUGGGGUAAAAUAAAAGUUUGCCACACUUUGUUAAAAGCCGUAUAGCCCAACCCCAACCCAACGCAGCGAACUCAGUUGCCGGAGUAGAGAUUUUAAUUGGAACCUCCUCUCUGAUUUCGCGAACCAAAAACUAUGGUAAGCAAUUGUCUGCUUCAAUUACUUCGAAAUUACAACCAAAAUUCACAUCAACUUAUUGUUUUAGGGCAGUUUCCAUCAAAUUAGAAGUUCUGACAAUUUUUUGGGUAUUUAUCAGGACAUUUUUAGGAAAGCCUUGUUAAAUUUGGAGCCCCCGGGAAAAAUUGCUCUUCAAACUGUUCAGGGAGCCAUUAAACCCCAGGUGAUUUAUUUCCCCACAUUAUUCAAUUGCAUUUCUUGUUAACAGGGUUAUUAUUUCUGCAACUUUCGAUUUAUUUCCAUAGAAAUACUUUUUGGAGCAUUGUAUUAUCUAUGUGUUUUAAUGGGCAAUUUCAUACUUUCUGCGAAUCGUGUAGAUCAGCUUUUUUUUUACUUCAAUUGAUGAAAAAAGGGAAAAAAAAUGCAAAAAUGUUAUUUGGUUCCUGCUGUAUGUAACUGGCAAUGAUUUAGUUUAUAUCCAUUAAGCUAAUUAGAAUUUCUAUUUUUUAAAAUAAAUUUAUGAUCUUGGUGGAAUUUGGCGAAGUACUAGCUUUUCGGCAUGUUGCAUUUAUAAAAUAUAUAUACUCCCACUGUUCUAAGAGAAUAGUCACCUGUGGUAGUUUAGGAUGGAAGAAGUCACUUUUCCCAGUGUAGUGUUGGCUUAUGAUUUAUUUUACAAUACGCCACUACUUGUACGAGUGACGGGGAGAUGAUGGAAAUGGUUCAACUAUUUCCGGAUGGAGGGAUUAUUUUUAGAUUGUUAAGGAGACCUCCCUAUAAGGAUAUGAGAGCAACUUAAUAUUCAUCUCCUUUGUAAUAUAUCUGAAGUUCUGAACAAUACACUAACUAUUAUCUGCGAUAGAUAGUGCUUGCAUAAAACGUUGAAAAAAAUAUGUUGUUUGAAUUUGUUGUUCUCAUUUUCCGUUUAUUUAUUGAAUCUCUGAUUUAUUUGUUGAUUUUAGUACUUCAGUAUCCCCAUAUCUGAAUUCAUUAUUUUGUAAUAUGGAAACUUAAUUUCUUCAUUGUUUCCACUGCCAAUGUCUUUAUUUGUUCGUCUUUAUGGUAAAAUCGUACCAGCGCGUCUCCUGUGAGACCAGUCACACCAUCAACUUGAUGGUGUGACGAGCGCGAAACCAAUAGCGUACCUCCCCUAAAACUAUAAAAAAAAGUAACAGAUCUAAACUAUAGCCGUAAAAUACCUAAAUUAAAAAAGUACCUCCUCUAAAAUUAUAUAUAUAUAAAAAAAGUAACAUGUAUAAACUAUAUAAGUAACAUACCUAAACUAAAAAUGUACCUCCCCUAAAACUAUUUCGUAUAAAAUAAAAGUAACAUGUCUAAACUAUAGAAGUAACAUACCUAAACUAAAAAAGUAACUCAUUUAAAAUUAUAAAAAAAAAGUAACAUGCCUAAAUUAUAGAAGUAACAUACCUAAACUAAAAAAAAUACCUCCUCUAAAAUUAUUAAAAAAAAAGUAACAUGUCUAAACUAUAGAAGUAACAUACUUAACUAAGAAGGUAUCUCUCCUAAAACUAGUCCGUAUAAAAAAAAGUAACAUGUAUAAACUAUAGAAGUAACAUACCUAAACUAAAAAAAGUACCUUCUCUUAAGUUAUAAAAAAAGUAACAUGUCUAAACUAUAGAAGUAACAUAACUAAACUAAGAAGGUAUCUCCCCUAAAACUACUCCGUAUAAAAAAAAGUAACAUGUAUGAACUAUAAAAGUAACAUACCUAAACUAAAAAAAAUACCUCCUCUAAAAUUAUAAAAAACAGUAAUAUAUCUAAACUAUAGAAGUAACAUACCUAAAUUCGCAAAUGUGAACUGGUCUCACCAUCAGUUAAUGGUGAGGACAGUCUCAUAUAAGAAUUUGGGAAAUCGUACAGUGAUUUGAACGAGUAUUAAAUUAAAAUAUGCAGGCUAGAAAUUAGAAGUAGUAUACUGGGAAGGUGUCUAUAUAUUCUUCUUAUUUGGCUUUUAGAGGAACAUAGAAAUGGUUAUACAUUUAUAAAGUGUCUUUUCGUUAUUCUUCUUUAUGCCCAUUAAUUAAGUUAAAAUAGUUCAACAUUAUAUGUUUGAUAGUGAUGUAGACAACUUUUUUUAAUGCUCACAGUUUACAAUAUACGGAGUACGUUUAACCCGAUGCUCGGGUUUUUUUGGAAACUGAUUAUGAUGUUUUAGAAUACUUGAUUGUAUAUUUUGAUCAUAAAUCAUAAAUACUUCUCGCGAUUUUUUGGUUGGUUUGCCUGAUAAUUUUUUUUCUAAUUUAUUUUAUUGUCUUACUACAGAAAUAGUUUUUUGUUUUUGGCAAAGUGAAGAAUUACAGUGUGCAGACUUGACAUGGUGAUCAAGAAGCGCCUGUCAUUUUUUGGUUUUUUUUAUCUUCUGUUUUAUGUAAUUGAAUGUUUGAUGUUAUAUGAAGUUGCUAAUUGUAAUAGAUUUUUUUAUUUUAAUGAAAGCUAAUUGUAUUGAUAGUAA